GGGAGAGGGGAGGGAGGAAGACAAGGAGCAAGGGACAGAGGAAGGAGAAAGAAAAAAGAAAGGUCUCAUCUUCAAUAAACUUAUUUAGAAUGUUGCAAUCAGAAAGUGUAAAGGGAGGCUCUCGACCCUGGGACCCUCAUUCACGUACAUGGAGAAUAACCCUGGGCUCUGAACGACCCUCAGAAGUCUGACAAACAGUCUUUUCUGGCUAAGUCUUACUCCAACCCUGGGCUUUCACUGCCUGCAAGUGAAAAACCUCUGCUCACCUCCCCCUGCUCCAUGAGCUUCCCGUGGCUACAGGACGGAAGCUUCCGGAAGGCGGUGCCGUGCCCUCUUGCCUAGCUCCAUGAGCGUUUGCAGAAUGAUCCUCAUGAGGAAAGCUCACGGUCCCUGGCACCCUCCCGGCGCUCCACCCUCUCCCUGCCUGCCUGGUGCUGGGCAGGGCUCCUGUCUGCCACGCACAAUGGGAGGCCACCCAUACUGCAGGAGCCCUGUUUUCCUGGCAUACGCAUGAAGACAGAAUGAAGCCCGGAGAUUCAGAGCCCCGCAGCUGCCAUCUGGACAUGGCCACUGGGGUGGAGACAGGGACAGCCACGGGGCAAGCUCAGUGCAGGUGGAGGAAAGCAGGACCAGGAGGCCAGGGCUGGGGCCGACCCUCGCUAUGCUCGGCCUGGCCUUGCAGCUGUGUUGUGGACAGUCCUGUGCCACCUUCCCUGGGAAGCGCUGUGCAGUUUGUGAACAGAAGUCUGUGAGGCACCACGCUGUGCCUGGUGUGAUGGCCCGGCCAUCCAAGCCCCGGGGCCUCCCCAUUUCAAGCCACGGCCUCUGUGGCCACCACCAGAAGAAAGGAGAGAACAGAGGGCUAGACACCAGCACUCACAGGCUGUGGCCUAGAGUGACACGCGUCACCUCCAUCACAGCCCAGUGGUCAGGGCCACGGAGGUCCAGGUGGCUGCCGCUGUCCUGGGGAAGAGCAGACAGAGGACAGGGGAAGCCACAGAGCUCGGGCCUGGACACCGGCAUGGAGCCUGAGCUGCGCUGUGCAUUCUGUGUGACCUGGGAGUGUGGCUGAGGUGUCCCGCAUCGUGCUGUCCUAUGCCGCAGUCUGAGGGUGAGGAAGGGGCUCUACCUACUUUGCUGCAGGGCAGAGAAACCGAUUCAUGGUUACAGAGCCUGCUUCAUGACGUCUGGCCCAUGGCAAGAAUUUGAUAAACGGCCCCUCUUCAGUUGCACCAGGCAUGCAGCUUCCUUGGGAGGGUUAGCCCAGUCUCCGCGCCCCUCUGAAGCACCCUGUCACCCAGCCCUGCAUGUGAGCGUCUCACCCUAACAGGGCUCGAGCACCGGAGAGCAUUCUGGCCCUCAGGUGGAGGAUCCCGAAGGUCGGUGAGCAAGCGAUGACUCGGCCCCAGGCAUGGCCCUGUUCACAUUCAUCCAGAGCUGGAAAAGUCCACCUGGCUGCUGGGUUCCCUGCAAGGCCCCUCAGAGUGUGAGGUCACAGUGGCGGGAGAGCCCAGCAGAGCCAGAGGUGGAGGCAGCAACCCAAGCCCCGUGCCCGGCGUCACACUGUCCUCAGAAGCGGUUUCCAGGCUGGCACCUUCCAGGCCUCCUGGCCCCGAGGCAGGUCCUCAUCCUGUGUCCCUCCCGGGCCAAAGUUUGGGGACUUGGCCAUGCCUUCCGGGGGCGUCUGCCCUCUGGCUACUCAGGAGCCGGAGAGGAUGGUGAGAAGCCCAGUUCACUGAUGGCCCUGGGAGUGGACAGCACCCACGUGGGCACCAGUCCAGACCUCCUAGACUGUCUGCAGUUGGCACUGCCCACCCCUGCCCUCACGCCUGGGACAGCCUGUGGAUGGUCCCUUCUGUUACUCAGCUGUGCUGCCAACAAUGGAAGAAUGAAUGCUAAGUGAUGGGCUUUCUCUGCCCUACGAGGCUGCAGGCAACUGUGAAGAGACCUUGAGGCCAGAGGAGCCCACCUGAGCCUCCACCUGUGGCAAGCAGCCAGUGCCUGGCCUGGGCGAGGAGCGUGGGGUGGGCCGGGCAGGAAAAGCACGAGAGCUUGAGGGUGAAGAUUCAUGUUCGGUUUAGUCCUGUUUGUUGCAGGCUCACCAACUUACCAACAGUCCUAGACCGCUAGACUUCCUUGCUCUUCUCCUGUUAACAGCGUCCUCGAGCUGUAAUUCACAUACACGCGGCUCAGUCCUUCAGUGUUCAGUUCAGUGGUUUGCAGCAGAUACGCUGUGCAGCCUGCACAGUGGUCAGUGCUAGGUCAGCCGUAACUCCUCAGAAAGAAACCCCACUCCCUGGAGCAGCCGUCCUAUCCUUCCACCCCUGCCCCACCCCUAAGCAACCUCUAAUCUCCUCCCCUCUUUAUGGCAUUAGCUGCUCAAGACUUCAUGUAAGUGGCAUUACACAAUAUUUGUCUUUCUUGGCCUGGCUUCUUUCACUGAGCACGAUGAUUGCAUGGUGUGUCCAGGUUGCAGUGUAUCUGCAUUUAUUCCUUUUAUUGCUGAAUAAUGUUCCUUUGAACAGAUAACGCUGCUUUUGGUUGGCAUUCGCCCAUCCACUGAUGCACGUCUGGGUUGAUCCCCCUGGUUUGGCCGUAGGAAUGACACUGCUAUGAGCACCCAUGUGCAGUGCUCAUGCGUAAGUGUGUCUUUAAUUCUCCUCCAGGACUGUGCACCCACGGAUGGAUUUGCUGGGCUUUGUGGUCGCUCUGUGUGUAACACUUGAGAGCAAUCACUAGGUGCUCCCCAAGCAGUGCUCCGUUUCGCGCCUCAUCCUCAGUCUCCGUCUCCACAGUCCUCCCGUGCUGCCAAUGUCCGUGUGGGGUUUUUGUGGUCUCCGUGGGGAGGUGUAGAGCGGCACUUGGCAGUUUCCCUGGCUCCUCCCUGAGAGCUAACGCUGUGAACAUCUCCUCUGCCUGUAGGCCAUUUGUACCUCCUCUGGGAAAUGUCUAUUCAGAGCCUUUAUCAUUGUUACACUGGAUCGUUUGCCUUUUCACUGAGCUGAAAUAGUUCUCUACAUUUUCUAGACAACGGGCCCCAUGGACACAGAUUUGCAAUUUGCAAAUGUUUUCUCCCAUUCUGUGGGUUGCCUUUCACUUUCUGGAUGGUAUUCUUUGAAACACAAAAGCUUUUACUUAUUUAUGCAGUACAGGGAUUGAACUCAGGCAUGGCCUACCACUGAGGUAUAGCCUCAGACCAUUUUCAUUUUUUAUUUUGAGACAGGGUCUCAGUAAACUUACCCAGGCUGGGCUGGAUUUGUGAUCCUCCUGCCUCAGCUUCCCACACAGAGGGUAUUACAUGCAUGAGCCACCUUGUCUAGCUCAAAAUUUUUAAUUUUGAAGAAGUCCUACUUAGCUAUUUUCUCAAGGGCCUUGCUCUUGCGAGACAGGCGGUGGAAUCGCUGAGCUAGACCCCCGGCCCCUCCACUAUUUAUUUUUGUGUGUUGUUUGUAUCCUGCUUCCUUGCUGAAUUUGUUUACUAGUUCUGGGAGUCUUUUGGUGGCAUAUUUGGUUCUAUGUAGAGGGUCAUGUCAUCUGUGGAUAAGGAUAGUUAGACUUCUUCCUUUCUUAUAUGUAUUUCUUUUCUUUCACUUGCCUGAUUGCUUUGGUUAAAGUUUCAAGUAUAAUAUUGAAAAGGAGUGGUGAUAGUGGACAUCCUUGUCUGGUUCUUCACUUUAGAGGAAAAGCUUUAAAUUUUUCUCCACCUAAUGUAUUUGCAUAAUAUUUGUGGUUGCUUUUACCAUUUAUUUCUAGUUUCUUGGCACUAUGAUCUGAUAAUAUGCAUGGGAUAAUUUCAUUUCUUUUGAAUUUAUUUAAGCAUACUUGAUGGGCUGAUAUGUAGUCUAUUUCAGAGAAAAUUCCAUGUGCUGCCGAGAAGAAUGUGUAUUUUGUUGUUCUUGAGUAGAACAAUGUAUAGUUAUUUAUUAAGUUCAUUUGUCUGAAGGUAUGAUUCAACUUUAAUAAUUUUUUUUAAGACAGACUCUGGCUAUGUAGUUCAGGCUGGCCUCAAACUCACGGCGAUCUUCCUGCCUCAGCCUCCUAAGUUCUGGGAUUACAAACAUGUGCCAUCACGCCUGGCUUAACACUGAUAUUUCUUCAUAGAUUUUUUUGUCUAAUUGAUCAGUCAAUUUGAAAUAGUGGGGUAUUGUGCUCCCCCACUAUAAAUGUGUUGACAUUUAUCUGAUCUUUUAUGUUCAGUAGUAUUUGUUUUAUGAAGUUGAGUGUACUGGUGUUCAGUGUGUGUAUAUUUAUAAUUGUUAUCUCUUCCUAUUGAAUUGUUCCCUUAACCAAUAUGUAGUGUCCUUCUUUUUCUCUUUUGAAUAGCUUUGGCUGAAAGUUCACUUUGUCUGAAAGUAGGGUAGCUAUUCCAACUUGAUUUGGGGCUUCUAGUGCAAGGAAUAUUGUUUUUCAUCCAUGAAUUUCUUUUUGGAUUAAAUGUGUUUUUGUAGCUAGUGUCACAUUGGUAUUUUUUUGUUUGUUUGACCUUCUUUGUCUCUCUUAACCAGUCUUGGCUUGAAAGCCACUUUGUCUUUGUCUGCAAAUAGAAUAGGUAGUUCUGCUUUUCUCCUGUUUCCUGUCGCAUGGAGUAUCAUUUUCCAUCCUUUGACUUUCAGUCUAUGAAUUUCUUUUUGAAUUAAAUGUGUUUCUUGUGUGCAGCAUAUUGUUGGAUCUUGCUUCUUGAUCUGUUCUGCAAGCCUGUUUCUUCUAAUUGGUGAAUUGAGACCAUUUACAUUGAUGGUUAUAACUAAUAUGUAUUGACUUGUCCUCAUCAUUAUUUUCCUGUUGUUGGUUCCCUUCAUUUUUCCCCUCUGUUUACUUACUUGCCUUGCCAGUGGAUUCAUUUUGGUGGGGUUCAUGGAAUUGUAGUCCUCAUUAUCUGUUUCUAGAAUGUCCUUCAGAACCUUUUGGAGUGCUGGUUUUGUGGUCAUGAAUUUCUUCAGGUGUUGUUUGUCAUGGAAGUAUCUUAUUUCUCCAUCAAUUCUGAAAGAUAGCUCUGCAGAGUACAUCAAUAUGGGUUGAAGGUUGUUUUCUUUUAGUGCUUGAAAUACUUCACUCUAAGCUGUCCUUGACUUGAGCAUUUGUGUUGAGAAGUCUCCUGUGAUUCUGAUGGACUUUCCUUUAUAGGUGAUUUGUUUCUUUUCUCUAACACCUUUUAAUAUUCUGUUCUUGUGUUGAAUUUCAGGAAGCUUGAUUAUUAUAUGCCUUAGUGUGAUUUUUUGUUUGUUUAUUUUUGAGACAGGGUCUUGCUAUGUAGCCCAGGCUAGGCUUGAACUCAUUAUGUAUCUCAGGCUGGCCUCAAACUUGUGGCAAUUCUCCUGCCUCAGCUUCCCAGGUGUUGGGAUUAUAAGCCUGGGCCACCAUACCUGUCCAGAUUUUUUUAUCAUGGUUAAUUGGAGUUCUAUGUGCCUCACUUAUCUGUAUGUCAAAUCUUUUUCCAUGCUUAGGAAGUUUUCUGCCAUUACUUCUGUGAACAGGUUUUUUUAAUAUCAUUUGCUCUAUCUCCUGCUUUUUUAUUGACUCUUAUCAAUCUUAUGUUAUUCUUCUUCGCAUCAUCUAGCAGAUGUUGGAGUGAUUUAUCAUAGUCUCUUGCUAUUUUUAAGAAAUCUUUCUUUUCAUGAUCACUAACCACAAUCCUAUCUUCUAUAUCUGAUAUUCUGGCCUCACAUUGGUUCAUUCUGCUGUGUAUACUUUCAAUGAGAUUUUUAAUAUCUGGAUAUCUGUUUGAAUCUGAUUAAUGGAUUCCAUUUCUUUCCUAUGUUGAGCAUUCCAGUUUUCAUCAUUUUCCUAAGUGCCUCUUUUUUUUUUUUUUUUUUAAUCUGUAUCUGCUCUAGAGUCACUAACCAUGUCUUACAUUAUGGUCACCAUCUCUGUAGUUAUUUGAGAGAUUAUUUCUGAUUUGAUUUUUUUCUAGAGCCUCAUUCCUCUGCUUUGUUACUUCUGCUAUAACCACAUUAGAGAGUCCAGGGGGUUGGCUUUCAAAUUGUUCCAUCUCAUUGCCCCCUGGAUUUGCUUUUGGUGCACUGGAAGUCUUGAGUUGCAUCUUGCUUAAGUGUAUUCUCAUUGUCUUUUCUUUCUGUUUUUUAGUUUAAUUCCUGGGUUAAUGCUUAUAAAUUGCUCAUGGCAGGUAGCUGUAGUGCUAAUGUUUGGAACCCUUAGCAAAUAACUACUUCUCAGAGAUAUCUUCCAGGUGUAUCUGGCUUUUAGGUUUUGAGUCUGUUGCAACAUCCUACCUCUUCAACUUAUUGGGGAUGAGAAGUUGCUGUCUAUUUGGUCUGGCCUCUGGUUCUUUGGUACUAGCCUAUAGUAUUGUUUAUGACCCUUAGGUAAUCUCUGUCUUGGCAUACUAGGAAGAACAACUGAUUAGAACAAUUAUGCCACCUUGGCUAAAGUAGCACAAUCAGAAAUAACAAUAGCAUCGAACACAGCCUAGAAUAUGACAAAGUGUAGUAACCAUCAAUUUGCCAGCUUUAACCCUAUGAACUAUAUUUGUGGUUAUAUAACAAAAUCUAAAACAAACCAGGAAAUUGUAUACAGUAAAUAUGCCCUCGAUAUGGUGAUUUUACCCUCAGGGGAGACCCUCAGGGGAGAAAAUUUAAAAGGGAUGAGAGGGAAACAAAUAGAGAAAUAGAAGAAGAGGAAGAGAUUAGAAGAAAGGCUAAAGGACAAAGGAAGAUUGUGUGAGCUUUGGGAAACUGGUAAAGAAGAUGGGAGGAAAAGAGAGAAGAAAGAAAUAAAAGCAAGGACAGGAAAAAACUAGAAAUAAUGUUCACACUAAUAUAAAACAAGAAGAAACAAUCAAGAAAAACAGAAAAGAAAAGAAGAAAAAGUAUCCACUUCAGGGUGUGUCUCUGCUGUCACUGGUAGACAGAGUGGGCAGACAGAGGCCAGAUCCAUGUUGAUUAAUCCCAGCAAGCCAGCUGUAGCUCUAUGGCAGGGUUGUGGAUAUUUCCAGCAAUCCGGCACCUUUAGCUCUACUGAAGUUCAGGCUGAUUUCUGGCUGUGAGGCGAGAACUCAUUUUGUUCAGCCUGCAAUGCUCUGUGUGCCUCCUACAGGCUUGAACUUGGAUCCCUGCCAGCUUGAACUUUGUGGCUCCUUAACCUCCUGCCAACUUGAACUUGGUUGUGUCUCACCUUGACAAUGGGAGCCACUUUAUGGAGCCAGCCUGCAGCUGCUCUGAGUUCUGAGCUCAGUUGGCCCCUCUCCAAGAUGGCCACUGGCCAAUCACCCUCUCCUGGGGGACAUCUGAAUCCUCAUAACUCACUAGCCACUGCAGUCUGCUGUGUUCACUGCUCCAUUCCACUGGUACAUUCUCUGUGGAGAUCUCUGGGGUCACCGGUAGUCAUCGUAUGUCUACAGGGUUGAGCUGCCUCUCCCAUGCAGCAAGUCAGGGCUCAGGAAGAAAGCACUGCUUAUUACCUCUUUCUUCUGCAUUGAGGUCUCUCUCUUCAUUCUCCCCAUGUGCUUCAAUUCUCACUUCAGAUCCUUGCUGGGUUCUGGGGGCCCACUUAACUCCUCCUUCCUCACAUUGCUAUAUUUCAGGGUAUGAACUCUAAAUCUCAGAGAGGCUGAUUCUCUGCUGUUCACCAUUCCACUGACUUCCUGGAAGUCUCCUCCUAAAUUUUUUUUUUUUGGUACCAGGGAUCGAACUUGGGUCCUUGUGCUUGUGCAGCAGGUGGAAAAACCACUGAGCUAAAUCCCUGGCAAUAUUUUAUUAUUUUGAUGCUAUUAUCAAUGGGGCUGAGUGUGGUGGUACACACUUGUAAUUCCAGCAGUCAGGAGGCUGAAGCAGGAGGAAUGCUGAGUUUGGGCUAUAUAAUGAGUUGAAGACCAACCUGAACUACAUAGUGAGACCCUGUCUCAUUAAAAAAAAAGGGGGGGGGGGGGAAUCAUUUUCUUAAUUUUUUUAGAUUAUUUGUGGGAAGUAUAUAAAAGUAGAACUGAUUUUUUUAUCCUUAACCUUGCUGAACUUGCUUAUUAGUUACAAUAGUUUUUAAAUGGAUUCCAUCAUAUUUUCUAUAUAAAAGACCAUGCCGCCUGAGUUUAUAGAUAGUUUUACUUCUUCCUUACCAAUCUAAGUGCCUUGUAUUCCAUUUUCUUCCUCAAAAACCCUGACUAGAACCUCUGGUACCAUGAUACAUGGAAGUGGCAAGAGUGGAAUCCUUGUUUUAUUCCAGAAAUUAGGAGGAAAGUAUUCAGUUUUUCACCAUCAUGUAUGUUAGCAGUGGUUUCUUUUUUUUAAGAUGCCCUUUAUCAAAUAAAGAAGUUCUUGGGCCAGGGAUUUAGCUCAGUGGUUCUGUGCCUGCCUUGCAACUGCAAGGUCCUGAGUUUGAUCCCUGGUACCAAAAAUUUAAAAAUAAAAUAAAAUAAUAAAUUAGGAAGUUCUUUAUUAUUCUUGCUCUGUUGAGUGUUUUUAUCAUGAAGGGUAUUGGAUCUUGUCAGAUGCUUUUCCAUUAUGUAUUGAAUUGAUCAUAUGGUAUUUAUCUUUUAUGCUAUUCAUAUGAUGUAUAAUAGUAACUGAUUUUUGGAUGUCAAAAGUCUUUUAUUUCUGGGAUAAAUUUUACUUGGCUAUGGAAUAUAAUCCUUAUGUGUUUCUGGAUUUGGUUGCUUGCAUUUUGUCGAGGAUUUUGUAUUUGUAUUCAUAAUAUAUCUUGGUUAGUUUUCUUUUCUUGAGCUAUCUUUGCCUGGUUUUGGUAUCUGAACAAUACUGGCCUCAUAGAAUGAGAUGGGAAGUGUCUAGG
ensembl:lncRNA